GAACUGCGAUAAGUAAUGUGAAUUGCAGAAUUCAGUGAAUCAUCGAGUCUUUGAACGCACAUUGCGCCCCCUGGCAUUCCGGGGGGCAUGCCUGUCCGAGCGUCAUUGCUGCCCUUCAAGCCCGGCUUGUGUGUUGGGUCGUCGUCCCCUCCGGGGGACGGGCCCGAAAGGCAGCGGCGGCACCGCGUCCGGUCCUCGAGCGUACGGGGCUUUGUCACCCGCUCGAUAAGGACCGGCCGGGCGCCAGCCGGCGUCUCCAACCUUUUUUUCUCAGGUUGACCUCGGAUCAGGUAGGGAUACCCGCUGAACUUAAGC
rnacentral:misc_RNA from 1 species